GAAAAGUGCGGGGAUGAGGUGUGGGUAGCGGAGAAAUUCCAAUCGAACUUGGAGAUAGCUGGUUCUCUCCGAAAUAGCUUUAGGGCUAGCCUCGAGGUAAAGAGUCAUGGAGGUAGAGCACUGUUUGGACUAGGGGCCCUUCUCGGGUUACCGAAUUCAGAUAAACUCCGAAUGCCAUGUACUUAUACUCGGGAGUCAGACUGCGAGUGAUAAGAUCCGUAGUCGAAAGGGAAACAGCCCAGACCACCAGUUAAGGUCCCCAAAUAUAUGUUAAGUGGAAAAGGAUGUGGGGUUGCUUAGACAACCAGGAUGUUGGCUUAGAAGCAGCCACCAUUGAAAGAGUGCGUAAUAGCUCACUGGUCGAGUGACCCCGCGCCGAAAAUGUACCGGGGCUAAACAUAUUACCGAAACUGUGGAUGAACCUCUUUAGAGGUUCGUGGUAGGAGAGCGUUCUAAGGGCGGUGAAGUCAGACCGGAAGGACUGGUGGAGCGCUUAGAAGUGAGAAUGCCGGUAUGAGUAGCGAAAGAAGGGUGAGAAUCCCUUCCACCGAAUAUCUAAGGUUUCCUGAGGAAGGCUCGUCCGCUCAGGGUUAGUCGGGACCUAAGCCGAGGCCGAUAGGCGUAGGCGAUGGACAACAGGUAGAGAUUCCUGUACCAGUGCUAAUUGUUUAACCGAUGGGGUGACACAGAAGGAUAGGGAAUCGCACGAAUGGAAAUGUGCGUCCAAGCAGUGAGUGUGAGAAGUAGGCAAAUCCGCUUCUCGCGAAGCAUGAGCUGUGAUGGGGAAGGAAAUUAAGUACGGAAGUUCCUGAUUUCACGCUGUCAAGAAAAGCCUCUAGGAAGAGUAGUACUGCCCGUACCGCAAACCGACACAGGUAGAUGAGGAGAGAAUCCUAAGGUGAGCGAGAGAACUCUCGUUAAGGAACUCGGCAAAAUGACCCCGUAACUUCGGGAGAAGGGGUGCUCUAUUAGGGUGCAAGCCCGAGAGAGCCGCAGUGAAUAGGCCCAGGCGACUGUUUAGCAAAAACACAGGUCUCUGCAAAACCGUAAGGUGACGUAUAGGGGCUGACGCCUGCCCGGUGCUGGAAGGUUAAGAGGAGUGCUUAGCUUCGGCGAAGGUACGAAUUGAAGCCCCAGUAAACGGCGGCCGUAACUAUAACGGUCCUAAGGUAGCGAAAUUCCUUGUCGGGUAAGUUCCGACCCGCACGAAAGGCGCAACGAUCUGGGCACUGUCUCAACGAGAGACUCGGUGAAAUUAUAGUACCUGUGAAGAUGCAGGUUACCCGCGACAGGACGGAAAGACCCCGUGGAGCUUUACUGCAACCUGAUAUGGAAUGUUUGUACCGCUUGUACAGGAUAGGUAGGAGCCGAAGAGACGUGUGCGCUAGCAUACGAGGAGGCAAUGGUGGGAUACUACCCUGGCUGUAUGACCAUUCUAACCCGCCACGCUUAGCGCGUGGGGAGACAGUGUCAGGUGGGCAGUUUGACUGGGGCGGUCGCCUCCUAAAGAGUAACGGAGGCGCCCAAAGGUUCCCUCAGAAUGGAUGGAAAUCAUUCGCAGAGUGUAAAGGCACAAGGGAGCUUGACUGCGAGACUGACAAGUCGAGCAGGGACGAAAGUCGGGCUUAGUGAUCCGGUGGUUCCGCAUGGAAGGGCCAUCGCUCAACGGAUAAAAGCUACCCCGGGGAUAACAGGCUUAUCUCCCCCAAGAGUCCACAUCGACGGGGAGGUUUGGCACCUCGAUGUCGGCUCGUCGCAUCCUGGGGCUGUAGUCGGUCCCAAGGGUUGGGCUGUUCGCCCAUUAAAGCGGCACGCGAGCUGGGUUCAGAACGUCGUGAGACAGUUCGGUCCCUAUCCGUCGCGGGCGCAGGAAAUUUGAGAGGAGCUGUCCUUAGUACGAGAGGACCGGGAUGGACACACCGCUGGUGUACCAGUUGUUCCGCCAGGAGCAUCGCUGGGUAGCUAUGUGUGGCAGGGAUAAACGCUGAAAGCAUCUAAGCGUGAAGCCCCCCUCAAGAUGAGAUUUCCCAUUUCUUCGGAAAGUAAGAUCCCUGAAAGAUGAUCAGGUAGAUAGGUUUGGAGUGGAAGUGUAGCGAUACAUGGAGCGGACAAAUACUAAUCGAUCGAGGACUUAACCAA
rnacentral:rRNA from 1 species